rnacentral:rRNA from 1 species
UAGGGAAUCUUCGGCAAUGGGGGGAACCCUGACCGAGCAACGCCGCGUGAGUGAAGAAGGUUUUCGGAUCGUAAAGCUCUGUUGUUAAGGAAGAACGAGUGUGAGAAUGGAAAGUUCAUGCUGUGACGGUACUUAACCAGAAAGGGACGGCUAACUACGUGCCAGCAGCCGCGGUAAUACGUAGGUGGCAAGCGUUGUCCGGAUUUAUUGGGCGUAAAGCGAGCGCAGGCGGUCAAUUAAGUCUGAUGUGAAAGCCCCCGGCUCAACCGGGGAGGGUCAUUGGAAACUGGUUGACUUGCGUGCAGAAGAGGAGAGUGGAAUUCCAUGUGUAGCGGUGAAAUGCGUAGAUAUAUGGAGGAACACCAGUGGCGAAGGCGACUCUCUGGUCUGUAACUGACGCUGAGGUUCGAAAGCGUGGGUAGCAAACAGG